rnacentral:rRNA from 1 species
GGGGGGGGGGGGGGGGGUGGGGGGGGGGGGGAGGGGGGGCGGGGGGGGCCGUUGGGGGGUACGCGGGUGGCGGAGGGGGGAGGAAGACGGGAGUAACCUGCGCACAAGUUUGGGAGGACGCUAGGAAACUGGGGCUGAUACUGGAUAUGUGCUCCUGCUGCAGGGUGGGGGGUGGAAAGCUCCGGCGGUUGUGGAUGGACUCUCGGCCUAUCAGCUUGUUGGUGGGGUAGUGGCCUACCAAGGCGGCGACGGGUAGCCGGCCUGAGAGGGUGACCGGCCACAUUGGGACUGAGAUACGGCCCCGACUCCUACGGGAGGCAGCAGUGGGGAAUAUUGCACAAUGGGCGCAAGCCUGAUGCAGCAACGCCGCGUGCGGGAUGACGGCCUUCGGGUUGUAAACCGCUUUCAGCAGGGACGAAGCUUUUUGUGACGGUACCUGCAGAAGAAGCACCGGCUAACUACGUG